rnacentral:rRNA from 1 species
CGUAGGGUGCGAGCGUUAAUCGGAAUUACUGGGCGUAAAGCGUGCGCAGGCGGUUUUGUAAGACAGGCGUGAAAUCCCCGGGCUCAACCUGGGAACUGCGCUUGUGACUGCAAGGCUAGAGUACGGCAGAGGGGGGUGGAAUUCCACGUGUAGCAGUGAAAUGCGUAGAGAUGUGGAGGAACACCAAUGGCGAAGGCAGCCCCCUGGGUCGAUACUGACGCUCAUGCACGAAAGCGUGGGUAGCAAACAGGAUUAGAUACCCUGGCAGUCCACGCCCUAAACGAUGUCAACUAGGUGUUGGGUGGGUAAAACCAUUUAGUACCGGAGCUAACGCGUGAAGUUGACCGCCUGGGGAGUACGGCCGCAAGGUUA